AUUGAACGCUGGCGGCAUGCUUUACACAUGCAAGUCGAACGGCAGCACGGACUUCGGUCUGGUGGCGAGUGGCGAACGGGUGAGUAAUACAUCGGAACGUGCCCAGUUGUGGGGGAUAACUACUCGAAAGAGUAGCUAAUACCGCAUGAGAACUGAGGUUGAAAGCAGGGGAUCGUAAGACCUUGCGCAACUGGAGCGGCCGAUGGCAGAUUAGGUAGUUGGUGGGAUAAAAGCUUACCAAGCCGACGAUCUGUAGCUGGUCUGAGAGGACGACCAGCCACACUGGGACUGAGACACGGCCCAGACUCCUACGGGAGGCAGCAGUGGGGAAUUUUGGACAAUGGGCGAAAGCCUGAUCCAGCAAUGCCGCGUGCAGGAUGAAGGCCUUCGGGUUGUAAACUGCCUUUGUACGGAACGAAAAGCUUCGGGUUAAUACCCUGGAGUCAUGACGGUACCGUAAGAAUAAGCACCGGCUAACUACGUGCCAGCAGCCGCCGCGGUAA
rnacentral:rRNA from 1 species